GGAACAAGUGCAGCCGCUGGGAGCUGAGGGGCUCCAGGCCUGUGAAUGCUCCAGGUAAACAAAAUGACUAAGUAUUAUUCAAUUGAAUAGAGCUUAAUCAGCAAAUUUUGGUGAAGAUCCAUUAAUAAGCUGUCCCCCCCCUUCAAUGCUUCACUUUUUAACCAAAAAAAAUUUGGCUUAUGAACAAGUAUAUAUGAAAAGUACUUUCCUUUAUGCCCCUGUAGUGGAUUGAGUAGAGGUAGAUGCAUACGUGCUGUCAAACUGGGAAUUCCAUUUCAGUCUCUAUACUCCCACUAUAGAAUCAAUCCCUCUAGGGUAAAGAACACACCCUGGAAAACCAAAAUUCUAGUUAUCCUCAGUUAUGUGGAUUUUCACAUUCUUUAGAAGGAAGGGACCUAGGAUACAAAUUUACUGAUCAGAACUGUUCUGAUGAUCAUCAUUAGGCCACAGUAUGCUGUAGCCUUCUAGCCUGAAUACAAUUCCAUGGAAAAUACACUAUUUCUUGCCUGAUUGAUUAAAUGUUUUAUUUGUAAAAGGUACCAAGAAGCUGGAGUGCACGUUACCAGAUGGAACAGGAAGGCGUGUCAUUCAGAAUAACCUCAACUACCCCUUCAGUAUUGUUAGUUAUGCCAAUCACUUUUAUCACACUGAAUGGAGAAGGGAUGGUGUUAUAGCUGUGAAUAAAGACAAUGGCUUCCUUACUGAUGAGUAUCUUCCAGAGCAGAGAUCACAUCUCUAUGGAAUAACUGCAGUUUACCCAUACUGCCCUGGAGGUAAAGUCCAUCUUGUUCAGUAUAGACCAGCUGUUGUCAAUAUGUAAAUUUCACUGUAUUAACAGGAACUUUAAUCUAUUCCCUCUCGCUCUCUGCAGCAAGAAAAUAACCAGCUACUUCAAG